UGAAUAUAGCUGCUGUUUUUCUAAAAAAAAUCUUAUCUUUAAAGAAAUUUAAUAUUCAAAAGAAUAGGACUAUUUUGAAAUAAUAAAGGAAGGCUUCUGUGUAGUUUCUUUGGUUUCAGAGUUGACACGGGGUUAGAGCCUUUGCAUUACUUAAUAGCACAUCCUUGUCACUAUUUAAAGAGCAGUUAGUGAGCGCCCCAGGCCCCACCUCUCAAAGCAUCAUUAAACCUUGCUCUGAAAUAGUGAGGUCAUAAAGGUCUUGUUUGCCGAAGACAAACGGUUUAUAAUAUGCAGCAUAGCUCUUUUUAGAAAAUAAUAGGUUAAAAGUUAAGAAAGUGCAAGGUUUUUUUUUUUUUUUUUUAAAGCUGAAAGCUAAACAUUCUUGUGCUAAUGUUGUGACUGGAAAUUUUGAAAAGAAAAAUCCUACCGUAAUAUUAUCUACAUGAAAUACAUAUAUGCCUAUCACGUUUGAAAAAUAACUGCACAGCGGUUUUUGAAAUUAGGACCAUUCCAGCUCAGAUACUGGCAGUGAUGCGUAGCUGGUUUUCAAUUUUAGAGUCUUAAUUUGCCUUCUUAGCCUACUUUUUUUUUUUUUUUUUUGGAGUGAGAAGUUUGAGUAGUGCUUUGCCAGAGUGAUUUUGGGGCAGACGUCGUGCACCAUCAGUGAGACAUUUUUGUGCAUUUUACUUUUUGGACAUCACCAGGGCGCAUGUGGAAACACGAGGGGGUUUGUGCCUGCAGGCCGGGAUGCUGCAGGACUCUCUGGUCCAUCACGAUUUGUCCUGGAGCUGCUCCGGUCAGUGAAUGACUUUCUGUGGCUUGGAGGUAAGGUGAUCUGAAUGCAGAUGAUCAGAUGUGUAGUUAAAGUGCUCUUACUUGAAAUAAGAGAAAACCUAGCAACAUGGCUCUAAAAAUACAGGAUGAAGGAGGAGAACUGGCUGAGCUGCUUGCAGUGGGGAGUCUUAGGUGACUCCCUCACCAUGAUUCCUGCCAAUAUCCACCCCAGCACUGCACGGCAGUCCUGCCAAAGCAGGCGAGCCCUUUGCUCAGAAACGCACUGAAUUUCCUUGUACCUCUGUGUGUUGGGUUUUUUUUAAGCGCAUCUUGGCCUUUGCUUCGAAUGCAAUUUUUUUUAGGCACCUCUUACACCCAUUCUUUCAGACCUCGUCCAUACGUAGCUGCUGAGUGGAUGAACAGAAUAUAAUAUCUCCACGUAGUGGAAUGUUAUUCAGAUGUAAGAAUGAAUGAAAAAGAAAAAAAAAGGGGAAGAUGAAACAGCCCACUUGCUCUGGGAAGUCCACCCUGACUACUCAACUCGCACUUUUCCCUUUGAUACCCCACCCCUUAUACUUCUCUCAAUUUGAUAGUAGUUACUGCCUUCUAAUAAACUAUAACCUUUUAAAAAAAAAAUGAGACGCUAAUACCAAUUCGAUAUGGGCAAGCCUUGAUAACAGCAUGUUAAGUAAAACGAGCCAGACACAAAAGGCCACAUAUUGUUGAUUUCAGUGAUCUGAAAUGCCCAGAAUAGGCACAUUCAGAGGCAGAGGGCAGAUGAUGCUAGCGAGGGGCUGGCUGGACAGGGGGAUGGGGAGUGACUGCUAAUGGACAGGGGAUUUCUUUUGGGGUGGAGUGUUCUGGAAAUAGAUGAUGGUAAGGGCUGUACAACCGUGAGCAUACAGAAAGCUGCAGAAUCGUACCUCUUGAAGUGGGCGCGUUUUAUCAUAUGUGAAUUAUAUGUCAAUUUAAAAAAAAAAGCUGAAAAAAAAGAAAUCCUCAGGCAAAGGGCAGCCUCUCCCGGGCCCGCCCCGCGGUGGGGUCUGUCAGUCUCCCUCUGGGCUGGAGCUGCCUGUGACAUGGUUUUCUCCUGCAGGGACUGUCUCCUGGAGGUGGGAGCGGGAGGCAAGGUCCAUGUGUCUCCAUCAUCUAGCAUGUGGUAGAUGUUCCCUAAAUGCUUGUUAAUAAAUGCUCUGGGAGUAAGGACUAAAAUGGGGCACUUUCCUGGAAGAAGCUGACAGCUCAGAGCGCCUGCCAACCACUUAGGAUAAAUACGGGUCAGAGUGAAGUAAUGAAAUUCUCUAAUAGAAGUUUAACAACGAGCUGUAGUACACACUAAGUAGAAGAGAUUCUUGAAUGGACUUACAUUUCCUAAUUUGGCUUCUUAAAGAGGAGAGAGAAAUAAAAGUGGGAAAGAGAAGAAAUCAAUGUAAAAGAAAAGAGAAAACAUGUAAAAAUAAUUAAGCUGAAUGAGAAAAGCAAAUGAUAGGAGCUUGAGUACGUUGUAUUGAAAGAGAAGUCUGUAAAUCCUCGUGACUGAUGGCUGGAGGGUAGCUGUGAGAUUGGGCACUUCUCCAGGAUGAGAACCCACCUGGGACCCUGACCCACAUGGUGGUGAGGGGCUGUCAGCUUCCUGCAGAGAAUGGUGUCCUGUGUUCUUGGCCUCUCACCUUCAGUCCAUCGGAAAAGGACAGUGGAGCUUCCCGGGGGCUCCAUGACGUGCGACACCACAGCAGACGGAGCGCAGAAGUGGAUGUGGGGACCAGGCUCACUUGUGUUUAACCAGAUGGGAAGGAAAUUUUAGAAAUGUUAAACUAUGCCACUCUUCUGGCGUUUUGUUUCAGAAAGUUGUUAUCCUUCAUAAAAAUUUAACAUUUAAAGGGCUUAUUAUUUUAAUAGGAAUGAAUACAUAAAGUUUUAAAUCCUUCUCUAUUUUUCGUCUUCUUUUUUUAAUGGAGGUACUGGGGAUUGAACCCAGGACCUCUUGCAUGCUAAGCUUGUGCUCUAUUACUGAGCAAUAUCCAUCUCUACUAGUUUUAUUUUUGAAUGUGGUAAGUAUCUGUAGGUGUAACCUGCACACAGACAGAAAAGCACUAUUUGAGAGCCUCAGUGGUUUUUCAGAGUGUCGGGGGGUUCUAAGACCAAAAAGUUGGAGGUUCGCGGAGCUAAUGAAUGCAGAUGAAGACUGUAGCCCAGCUUGUCAGGCCUGUGGCUGCCUAAGGUUCUCAGGGUGGAAGUGCCAGUGACAGGAGAGCAAACGGUUGUAGCUACUAACAGUGGCCGCCUUUGAGAAGGAGGCAGGCCAGUUAGAUAUUUAUUCCAUGUGGGGCAGAUGCAUUUAGGGUGGAGGAGGUGGAAAGGUAUUCUGGUCCUGCUUCAGGUGGUAUUAUUUUAAAACACUUUCAUUUCGGGGCCCUUCCUGCUCCAUCCCUCAUCUCUCUGCAGUGGCAGCAUCUGGCCUAGAGCCUGCUGCACAGAACGCACAUUAAACUCUUGGUUAAAUGAAGGACUGGACGGCCUGUUUCACGUGUGGGCUCAGCCCUCAGUGGAACCCUGAGCAUCGUGAGAUUCUUCCGUGUUGCCAGCCUUGACACGGGCGUGCAGAGCAGAAAAGCUGAGCCUGAGGGGCUGUGUUCGGCCUCUGUCAUCUGUCACUGUCCUGCUGAGACUGGUUGCCAAGCUGGGGCUCAGAGGUUCCAGGGCAGCUCACUUCCUGCCGAGGCAGCCAACAGACACCGCCCAGCAAACUGGUGUGAUUUCCUGACUCUUUGGGAAGUAUUUUGCAAGACACUUAGAUUACCUACUGUUGGAAAAAUGCAGAAGUGACUUUUAUGAAUAUAGGCCUAGUACAGUUCUGUUGGUCUUUGAUAUACUGCAAGACAUGAGGACUAGGAGAGCUCUGCUGCUGAUUGCCAGAAGGACAGAUGCCGGGUCUCAGUCUCCCCUCCUGUAAACUGAAGAGGCAAUACUGGAUUCUUUCCUCUUCUAAAAUGAGUUUCCAUGAACUUAUGCCUUUUGUUUAUAUUCAGGAGUAUUUACAAUUUCAGAUUAAAUGCUGAAUACCACUCCCUUCCCCGAAGCAGAAGUCAAUAUGUGCUAGAUAAGUUUUUAGUUAUCUGAUUCUUCUUUCUUUUUUUUUUUAAAUUUAUUUUCCUGAGUUAUAGUCGUUUAUAAUGGUGUACCAAUUUCCAGUGUAGAACACAAUUUUUCAGUUAUACAUGAACAUGCAUAUAUUCGUUGUCACAUUCUCUUUCACUGUGAGCUACCGCAAAAUCUUGAAUAUAAUUCCCUGUGCGAUACAGAAUGUUCUUGUUUACCUAUUCUAUAUAUACCUGUCAGUAUCUACAAAUUUCAAACUCUCCGUCUGUCCCUUCCCACACCCCUCCUCCCUGGCAACCACAAGUUUGUAUUCUAUGUCUAUGACUGUUUCUGUUUUGUAUUUACAUUCAUUUGUCCUUUUCUUUUCUUUUUAGAUUCCACAUAUGAGUGAUCUCAUAUGGUAUUUUUCUUACUCUUUCUGGCUGACUUCACUUAGAAUGGCAUUCUCCAGGAACAUCCAUAUUGCUACAAAUGGCAUUAUGUUGUCAUAUUUAUGGCUGAAUAGUAUUCCAUUAUAUAAAUAUACCACAUAUUCUUUAUCCAGUCAUAUGUUGAUGGACAUUUAGGCUGUUUCCAUGAUUUGGUUAUUGUAAAUAGUGCUGCUAUGAAUAUUGGGGUGCAAGUCUCUUUUUGAAGUAGGGUUCAUUCUGGAGA